GACAUAUUUUAAGGGGAUCAAUUUCGGGUACAAAUAAGGCCUGUUUGGGAUACCCGUUUAGGUGAGGAAAUGUUUAUAAUUAUAAAUUAUUUUCUUUCCUUUAAUUCCCUUCCCAAACGCCGUUUCCCCCAAACCCGAUGCCGAUCCUUCCUCUCCUUCUUUCCCCGACCUCCCUUUCUUCUCUGAUCUCCCUCGCAGACUAGCGACAAUCGGCGAUCUCUCCUUCCCUUCUCGGUGUCGCCGGCGCAAAGCAACCACCGGAGCUUUAGGAGGGAGUGAGUUGCUGAUCCUCCAUUUUCUCCCUCUCGAUUUCUCUCCCACGGACGAUCCAACGCACCCGACGCCGACGAAGAGCGUCGUCCACCUGCGAACUAGGCUUCAAUGCGCCGCCUGAGGACCUCACCGGAAUCUUGAAGGUGCUGAUCCCCAAUCGCUUCCUCGUUGGUUUCUUGUGCGCGAUGGGCGGCGGUUCGGCAUCUAGGGCACGGCGUGAAGAGGUUGAUUCAUAUUUUUCCGGCCGAUCGAGCCUUUCUCUUCUCCUCUUCGUUCUGUUCACUGGAGGGUAUUGCCGAUCAUCAUCAGCCGAGGUGGAUCGCACGACAUCGACUGUAAAUGAUCAAUUAAGAAGGAGGCUUUGGAUUCACAUACUGGUGGAAUGCUCAUUUGUUGUUCGCUGAUCUUCUCCAAUUCUUGCGGCUGGUUGUUCAUUUUGAGGCGGAUGAAGAGGAAGAGGACUUGGAUUCGAGAUGUGCGUCUCGACGUGGGAUUAGUUUAUCACGAUCGACAAAUAAAG